AUUGAACGCUGGCGGCAGGCCUAACACAUGCAAGUCGAACGAGUGGCGGACGGGUGAGUAAUGUCUGGGAAACUGCCUGAUGGAGGGGGCUAACUACUGGAAACGGUAGCUAAUACCGCAUACCAUCGGAUGUGCCCAGAUGGGAUUAGCUAGUAGGUGGGGUAACGGCUCACCUAGGCGACGAUCCCUAGCUGGUCUGAGAGGAUGACCGGCCACACUGGAACUGAGAAACGGUCCAGACUCUUAGGGGAGGAAGCAGUGGGGAAUAUUGCACAAGGGGCGAAAGCUUGAUGAAGCCAUGCCGGGUGGAUGAAGAAGGCUUUCGGGUUGUAAAGUACUUUCAGCGGGGAGGCGGUACCCGCAGAAGAAGCACCGGCUAACUCCGUGCCAGCAGCCGCGGUAAUAC
rnacentral:rRNA from 1 species